CCCGGCGACCGGCGCACGGGUGAGUAACACGUAUGGAACCUGCCCGCAGCAGGGGGAUAAGCGGAAGAAAUUCCGUCUAAUACCGCGUAACACCGCAGAGGGGCAUCCCUCGGCGGUUAAAGAUUCAUCGGCUGCGGAUGGCCAUGCGGCGCAUUAGCUAGUCGGCGGGGUAACGGCCCACCGAGGCGACGAUGCGUAGGGGUUCUGAGAGGAAGGUCCCCACACUGGUACUGAGACACGGACCAGACUCCUACGGGAGGCAGCAG
rnacentral:rRNA from 1 species